AGCGUGCGUCCUAUUAGCUAGUUGGUGAGGCAAUGGCUCACCAAGGCUACGAUGGGUAGGGGUUCUUAGUGGAAGAUCCCCCACACUGGCACUGAGAUACGGGCCAGACUCCUACGGGAGGCAGCAGUAGGGAAUAUUGGUCAAUGGGCGAAAGCCUGAACCAGCCAUGCCGCGUGCAGGAUGACAGCUCUCUGAGUUGUAAACUGCUUUUGUACAGGAGCAAAACAAUCCCUGCGGGGGUUCUUGAGAGUACUGUAAGAAUAAGCACCGGCUAAUUCCGUGCCAGCAGCCGCGGUAAUACGGAAGGUGCAAGCGUUAUCCGGUUUUAUUGGGUUUAAAGGGUGCGUAGGCGGCUUAUUAAGUCAGUUGUGAAAUCCUAGUGCUUAACGCUAGAACUGCAAUUGAUACUAUUAGGCUUGAGUUAAGAAUAG
rnacentral:rRNA from 1 species